rnacentral:rRNA from 1 species
AUUGAACGCUGGCGGCAUGCCUUACACAUGCAAGUCGAACGGUAACAGGUCUUCGGAUGCUGACGAGUGGCGAACGGGUGAGUAAUACAUCGGAACGUGCCCGAUCGUGGGGGAUAACGAAGCGAAAGCUUUGCUAAUACCGCAUAAGAUCUACGGAUGAAAGCAGGGGACCGCAAGGCCUUGCGCGAACGGAGCGGCCGAUGGCAGAUUAGGUAGUUGGUGGGAUAAAAGCUUACCAAGCCGACGAUCUGUAGCUGGUCUGAGAGGACGACCAGCCACACUGGGACUGAGAGACGGCCCAGACUCCUACGGGAGGCAGCAGUGGGGAAUUUUGGACAAUGGGCGAAAGCCUGAUCCAGCCAUGCCGCGUGCAGGAUGAAGGCCUUCGGGUUGCAAAGUGCUUUUGUACGGAACGAAAAGACUCUUUCUAAUAAAGAGGGUCCAUGACGGUACCGUAAGAAUAAGCACCGGCUAACUACGUGCCAGCAGCCGCAGUAA